rfam:Pteropus alecto contig44718, whole genome shotgun sequence.
GUCUACAGCCGCGCCACCCUGAACAAGCCGGAUCCCGUCUGAUCGCGGAAGCUAAGCAGGGUCGGGCCUGGUUAGUGCUUGGAUGGGAGACCACUUAGGAAGACCAGGUUGCUGUAGGCG